rnacentral:misc_RNA from 1 species
GCCACAUGGUUAUUAAAAGAACACAACAUAGUGGAAAUGACAUGAGUAAUCAAAUUUCUGUUCAGUUAAUUGUACAGUAGCACUUCUCAUUACAAACUAUACAGUAAAUGAAAUUUCCUUUCUAAUAGUCCAUUCAGAGAGAGAAAUUUGUGUUCAGCUAAUUUACUUAAAUUAUUUUUCAUCCGGCCUCCAGUUAGCAACAGUGGUUGCUCCGCUAAAGAUGAUUAAACAACUCCUCUCAAGCACCAUACAACUUUG